GUGCCAGCCGCCGCGGUAAUACGGAGGGUGCAAGCGUUAUCCGGAUUCACUGGGUUUAAAGGGUGCGUAGGCGGACAAGUAAGUCAGUGGUGAAAUCUCUGGGCUUAACUCAGAAACUGCCGUUGAUACUAUUUGUCUUGAAUAUCAUGGAGGUAAGCGGAAUAUGUCAUGUAGCGGUGAAAUGCUUAGAUAUGACAUAGAACACCGAUAGCGAAGGCAGCUUACUACAUGUUAAUUGACGCUGAGGCACGAAAGCGUGGGGAGCAAACAGGAUUAGAAACCCCCGUAGUCC
rnacentral:rRNA from 1 species